rnacentral:piRNA from 1 species
UGCAUCUUGAUUCAAAGACAACUGGGAGA